CUGAGAGGGUGAUCGGCCACAUUGGAACUGAGACACGGUCCAAACUCCUACGGGAGGCAGCAGUGGGGAAUAUUGCACAAUGGGCGAAAGCCUGAUGCAGCAACGCCGCGUGAGUGAUGAAGGCCUUCGGGUCGUAAAACUCUGUCCUCAAGGAAGAUAAUGACGGUACUUGAGGAGGAAGCCCCGGCUAACUACGUGCCAGCAGCCGCGGUAAUACGUAGGGGGCUAGCGUUAUCCGGAUUUACUGGGCGUAAAGGGUGCGUAGGCGGUCUUUCAAGUCAGGAGUGAAAGGCUACGGCUCAACCGUAGUAAGCUCUUGAAACUGGGAGACUUGAGUGCAGGAGAGGAGAGUGGAAUUCCUAGUGUAGCGGUGAAAUGCGUAGAUAUUAGGAGGAACACCAGUUGCGAAGGCGGCUCUCUGGACUGUAACUGACGCUGAGGCACGAAAGCGUGGGGAGCAAACAGGAUUAGAUACCCUGGUAGUCCACGCUGUAAACGAUGAGUACUAGGUGUCGGGGGUUACCCCC
rnacentral:rRNA from 1 species